AGAGUUUGAUCCUGGCUCAGAACGAACGCUGGCGGCGUGGAUAAGACAUGCAAGUCGAGCGCUAAUUACAGGGUAGCAAUAUCUUGUAGUUGGAGCGGCGCAAGGGUGCGUAACACGUGGGUAAUCUGCCAUGAAGUUCGGGAUAACUCGCUGAAAGGCGAGCUAAUACCGAAUGUGAAAAUUAGGAGGCAUCUUCCGAUUUUCAAAGCUGGGGACCGUAAGGCCUGGCGCUUCAUGAUGAGCCCGCGGCCUAUCAGCUAGUUGGUGAGGUAACGGCUCACCAAGGCUAAGACGGGUAGCUGGUCUGAGAGGACGACCAGCCACACUGGAACUGAGACGCGGUCCAGACACCUACGGGUGGCAGCAGUCGAGAAUUUUUCACAAUGGGGGAAACCCUGAUGGAGCGACGCCGCGUGGGGGAUGAAUGGCUUCGGCCCGUAAACCCCUGUCAUUUGCGAACAAAUUGGUUCACUUAAUACCUGAACCAUUGAUAGUAGCGGAAGAGGAAGGGGCGGCUAACUCUGUGCCAGCAGCCGCGGUAAUACAGAGGUCCCAAGCGUUGUUCGGAUUCACUGGGCGUAAAGGGUGCGUAGGCGGUCAGGUAAGUCUGAUGUGAAAUCUCUGGGCUUAACCCAGAAAUGGCAUUGGAUACUAUUUGGCUUGAGAGUUGGAGGGGGGACUGGGAUUCUUGGUGUAGCAGUGAAAUGCGUAGAUAUCAAGAGGAACACCAGUGGCGAAGGCGAGUCCCUGGACAACUUCUGACGCUGAGGCACGAAAGCUAGGGGAGCAAACAGGAUUAGAUACCCUCGUAGUCC
rnacentral:rRNA from 1 species